rnacentral:lncRNA from 1 species
CUGGGUACUCCACGCCGGCUCCCCCGGGGCGCCUGGGCUGGGCCGCCCCGCCAGUCGGAUCAGACUCAGGAGCGCCCGGAGGCUCCAGGGCACGCUUCUGCACGAGAGCUCCGCACCUGCGCGGUCUGGGGGUGGACCCGACCCCCUCACCCCUGGGACCCCUGAGGGCCCUGCUGCCUGGGCAGCCCCUCUCCCCUGCAGGCCCUCGCGGGGGGCGGGGGGGGGCUGGCUCGCCUCUGCCGACCCCUCGCCCGUUCGGCACCCUCUCCCCUGUGGCCCCCUAUCUUCUGCGGCCCCCUCUCCCCGGCAGCCCCCUCAUUCUUCUGCGGUCCCUCUGCGGCACGCACGCCCUCCNCAGCAGGCAGAGGCGCGGGUGGGACGCGCGUCGGGGGGCAGCUUCCUCGUGCGGGCGGACGGAGGAGGUUGCAGGUAUCGGCCGCACCGCGGACCUUGACCUGCGGCCUGGGAGGAGGCGGGCGAGAUUCCCUGGCCGGGCUCUGACCACCUGACCACCUUUCUGGGCGCUGGAGGCCGGGCCCCCGCGCCAGGACUCUACCUCUGCCCAGGUGCCCCCCAGGCUCUGGCUUCUCCAGCACUCGGGGUGGAGGGGAGGGGCUGCAACUCCGGACAGGCGGGAGGACGCAGGACACAGCUGCCGGCGCUGCUCUGGGCUCCAGGCCUCCCCCGACCGACCGGCCAGACGGCGGUACCAGCCUCAAACGCAUCCCUUCCCCUCCCAGCCUCCGGAGACGCUCUGGGGCCUGUCAGGAAUAGGGAGGGAAGGACGGCAGUUAUCAGGUCAAGGACCCAAGGUAUCCUCCCCCCACCCGGGACUGGGCUGGGUGGAGACAGCCUCUCACAUUCCUGAGGGAAGGGUUUGCAGCCUCCCUGGGUUGGAAUUCCUGCUCUCCCUCCUACCAUGUGAUCCUGGGCAAGUGGCUUGACCACUUGGUGUCCUGGUCCCCUGGUAAGCCAGGUAAGAAGAUUCGGGGGAAGGUGCCAGCCCACCGUUGUGCCUCCCCACUCCUGCCUGUACCCC